AAGUGGAACAACAUCAAUGGAUAAUUCAGUUUUUCCUCAUCAGACAUAACGAUUAAACAGGCGCCGUGUGAUCGCGACGUCUCAACCAGGAUCCAGUAAAUCCGAUGUGUAUUUUUUUACUGAGUAUCAGAAAGAUGUUAUCGCUGAAUAUUACCGUGAAAUGACACAAAGUGUUGGCUUGAACACAUCAUCAAAAUGCUGAUUCCAGUACGCUUAGCUGCGGCAAUAUACACAUGCUAGGAUUUCACGAGUGAUUGAGCAAUAUGGCUUCUGGUACAUCUUCCCUGGACAGCGCUGGGAGUAGCGAUGGCGCACUUAACAUAGCUGUGAGCAUACUAUGAAAGAG
rnacentral:lncRNA from 1 species